AUUUAAGUAGUUUAAAAUAAAACGUUGGUUUGUGGAUCCAAAAAUGUAAAUUAUUUAUCUUAAAUC
rnacentral:tRNA from 1 species